ensembl:lncRNA
UAACAACUCUGAUUGGCUAAUUCCUCAUAAACAAACAAACAAACAAACAAAUAAAUAAAUAACAAGUAUGUGGUCUUUUCAGCAAGAUUGUUGAUGUAAGUGAACUAAGGUCCAUUCACACAGCCUUUCAGCUGCCUGGCUGCUGCACUGUCCUUUGCUGUAUUUCAGGUGCUUGCCCUCCUUUCCCUUUAACAAUCUGCAUCUGAGAAUGAAGGAAAGAAAUCCUGAUGAUCUGUGACAUGUUUCUAUCCCACAGGACCAAACAACAUUCCCUGACCUUCCCUUAGCUAUGCCUCACCUCGACCAGAACAUUCUGCAGUACAGAUCUUUAAUGUCAGAGAUUCAGAAGCACAUGGGGUUGCUUUAUCGAAUGCAGAACAGUUUACCUCACCGAGCUCAAGAGUUUCAAUUCUGCUCCUCAGGGCUGCCGUAAUGAGUUUGGAGGCGAUCGAGUACUUUCUCAGAGAACCAGGGUUUUUGGUGAACAAAAGCUAAAACGAUGUGAAAUCACGGAAGAAGAGGUGGUCUUCACAGCUGGAGGAACACUCAGGCAGCCUGUUCUCAUGGAUCCUCAUAAACCCUGGGUGGAGGUGAUUCUUUCGUCCAUGGUCACAGCUGUUCCUCUUUGCUGUUUGAUGAUGGAGACUGAUUGGUCUGGCUGAGUUUCACAGGCUUCUGUGGCUGUUUAACCCACGAUCGGCCGCCCGGGAGCUGCUGUGCAGAUGGCUGAUUAGGGAAACUUUCUGUGAUGUUCUGUAUUUCUGUGUAAGAAGGAAAUGGCCGUCGUGUGAUCCUCAUAACAAAGUCUCCUUUUUCUUGGCCUUUUUUCUAUCCUCUCUCUGUUUCUUGAAGGACACUCAAGUAGCUCCUGCCUUUAAAAAAAUAGUAUAAUAUUUUGCUCCAAACAUGCCCUGAAGUGUUUACAUAAAAAAAGUUAAUUUCUUCAUGUUCUAAUAAAUUGUUUAACAUUUUAAGUUGUAUAAAUUAACCUGAACAAACAUGAAAUAACAACAGUGUAUUUAUAAAUUAACAUUAACCUAGAUUAUUAAAUGUUGUUCUGAAAGUUUGUUAUCUAAUGAAUUAACUUAUCUUUAUUAUUAUUAGUAUUAUUAUUAUUAUUAUAGUAUUGUUGACAUUGGAAACAAUAUUACAUAUUAUUUUAAGCUAAUAAUCCAACAUAAUUCUCUAAAUUUAGUUAUAUUUAUAGUGGCAAAUUGCAG